UUUGUCUGAAAAACCGUUUGUCCGCAUGGUCGUUUGUCCGAUAAUUUCAUACAAACGACCAUUCGGACAAACGGCUUUCGAACAAACGG
rnacentral:pre_miRNA from 1 species